CCUACGGGAUGCAGCAGUGGGGAAUAUUGCGCAAUGGGGGAAACCCUGACGCAGCAACGCCGCGUGAGUGAAGACGUAUCUCGGUAUGUAAAGCUCUAUCAGCGGGGAAGAAGGAAGACGGUACCCGACUAAGAAGCCCCGGCUAACUACGUGCCAGCAGCCGCGGUAAUACGUAGGGGGCAAGCGUUAUCCGGAUUUACUGGGGGUAAAGGGAGCGUAGACGGCGUCGCAAGUCUGAAGUGAAAGCCCGUGGCUCAACCGCGGAACCACUUUGGAAACCGGGUGGCUGGAGUGCUGGAGAGGGAAGCGGAAUUCCAGGUGUAGCGGUGAAAUGCGUAGAGAUCAGGAGGAACACCGGUGGCGAAGGCGGCUUACUGGACAGUGACUGACGUUGAGGCUCGAAAGCGUGGGGAGCGAACAGGAUUAGAUACCCGUGUAGUC
rnacentral:rRNA from 1 species